GUGGACGCCAGUCUGCAUGGAGCCGGCCUUGAAAUACCACCCUUUAAUGUUUGAUGUUCUAACGUGGACCCGUGAUCCGGGUUGCGGACAGUGUCUGGUGGGUAGUUUGACUGGGGCGGUCUCCUCCUAAAGAGUAACGGAGGAGCACGAAGGUUGGCUAAUCCUGGUCGGACAUCAGGAGGUUAGUGCAAUGGCAUAAGCCAGCUUGACUGCGAGCGUGACGGCGCGAGCAGGUGCGAAAGCAGGUCAUAGUGAUCCGGUGGUUCUGAAUGGAAGGGCCAUCGCUCAACGGAUAAAAGGUACUCCGGGGAUAACAGGCUGAUACCGCCCAAGAGUUCAUAUCGACGGCGGUGUUUGGCACCUCGAUGUCGGCUCAUCACAUCCUGGGGCUGAAGUAGGUCCCAAGGGUAUGGCUGUUCGCCAUUUAAAGUGGUACGCGAGCUGGGUUUAGAACGUCGUGAGACAGUUCGGUCCCUAUCUGCCGUGGGCGCUGGAGAACUGAGGGGGGCUGCUCCUAGUACGAGAGGACCGGAGUGGACGCAUCACUGGUGUUCGGGUUGUCAUGCC
rnacentral:rRNA from 1 species